CGAAAGGGUGCUCCUUCACUCGGCAAAAUGUAGGUCUCGACAACCACUAUUUUCCCAGUUCAGAGCACCCUUUCCCUGCUUAAACACGCGCCAUCAACAG
rnacentral:sRNA from 1 species